CUAUCACGAAGGCAGUUGAAGAUGGUAUUCGUUCAAACAAAAGUUUUUUGGAAAUGGAACACGAAUCUUUCAUUCGAGAAACCAAACUUCAUCUGCGCAAUGCAAAAUCUCGGUUCUGUUCGGCAGAAAUCAACGCACAGCAGGCAAAUGAUGCUUGUGAUUCCAAUUAAAAAGAAGACAAUGAUCAACAUGCAUCAGGCUUCGAUCUCAAGAUGAUCAUCACUCAUGUUCAACAUAGACAUUUACAUUAAGAAAAUUUGUGGAUAAAUCCUUUUUCGUUCGCGUUGUAAUGUGUGAUCUUUUUUGUAGCUGUCUCACAGCAAGUCUAUACAAGGAAUAUAUUUUUUUUUGUAAACAA